rnacentral:rRNA from 1 species
UCCGUAGGUGAACCUGCGGAAGGAUCAUUACCGAGUUCUCGGGCUUCGGCUCGAAUCUCCCACCCUUUGUGAACAUACCUCUGUUGCUUUGGCGGCUCUUUGCCGCGAGGAGGCCCUCGCGGGCCCCCCCGCGCGCUUUCCGCCAGAGGACCUUCAAACUCCAGUCAGUAAACGUCGACGUCUGAUAAACAAGUUAAUAAACUAAAACUUUCAACAACGGAUCUCUUGGUUCUGGCAUCGAUGAAGAACGCAGCGAAAUGCGAUAAGUAAUGUGAAUUGCAGAAUUCAGUGAAUCAUCGAAUCUUUGAACGCACAUUGCGCCCCUUGGCAUUCCGAGGGGCAUGCCUGUUCGAGCGUCAUUACAACCCUCAAGCUCUGCUUGGUAUUGGGCGCCGUCCUCUCUGCGGACGCGCCUUAAAGACCUCGGCGGUGGCUGUUCAGCCCUCAAGCGUAGUAGAAUACACCUUGCUUUGGAGCGGUUGGCGUCGCCCGCCGGACGAACCUUCUGAACUUUUCUCAAGGUUGACCUCGGAUCAGGUAGGGAUACCCGCUGAACUUAAGCAUAUCAAUAAGCGGAGGA